rnacentral:sRNA from 1 species
UAAUUCAUUGAGAGCUGCCAUUGUGGU